rnacentral:tRNA from 1 species
GUUUUAAUAGUUUAAAUAAUAAAACAAUGAUUUUGUAAAUCAUAAAUAGAUAUAAUAGCCUUUAAAACU